UACGAAGGGUGCAAGCGUUACUCGGAAUUACUGGGCGUAAAGGGUGCGUAGGUGGUUGUUUAAGUCUGUUGUGAAAGCCCCGGGCUCAACCUGGGAAUGGCAAUGGAUACUGGACAGCUAGAGUGCGGUAGAGGGUAGUGGAAUUCCCGGUGUAGCGGUGAAAUGCGUAGAGAUCGGGAGGAACAUCAGUGGCGAAGGCGACUACCUGGCCUGUUCUUGACGCUGAGGCGCGAAAGCUAGGGGAGCAAACGGG
rnacentral:rRNA from 1 species